GCCUCGGUAGCUCAGCCUGGCAGAGCAUCUGACUGUUAAUCAGGUGGUCGCAAGUUCAAAUCUUGCCCGGGUCU
rnacentral:tRNA from 1 species